CCCAGCUGGCCCAGUUUGUGCAUGAGGUGAAGAAGAGCCCCUUUGGCAAGGAUGUUCGGCUUGUCUCCCUCGGCUCCCGGCAGAACCUUUGUGUAAAUGAAGACGUGAGAAGCCUAGGUUCUGUGCAGCUUAUCAACGACCGCUGCGUGGACAUGCAGAGAAGCAGGCACGAGAAGAAGAAAGGAGCUGAGGAGGAGGAGGCAGGAAAAGCAGGCAGCCUGCCCCUUCUACAACCACGAGCAGAUGGGCCUUCUCCGGGAUGAGGCCCUGGCAGAGGUGAAGGACAUUGAACAACUGCUGGCCCUUGGGAAGGAGGCCCGGGCCUGUCCCUAUUACGGGAGCCGCCUUGCCAUCCCUGCAGCCCAGUAUUCCAGUGAAAUUCUGUGCAUGGGGACAGUGGAGCCCAGAAAAGUUAAGUGACUCAUAUUUUCUCACUAAGCGUGGGUGAUGGAGCCAUUCAGUUUUCCGAUAUUUUAUUUUUUAUAUGAGUAUUCCUUUAACUGGAAACUUUCCUAACAACAAACACCUAAAGAUCUGCAGAGUUGCUUUUAUUUUUGUUACCCCAGCUCCACGCCUUAACCCUCACUUUGAAAUAGGAUGUAU
rnacentral:sRNA from 1 species